rnacentral:rRNA from 1 species
GAUGAACGCUGACAGAAUGCUUAACACAUGCAAGUCUACUUGAAUUUGGGUUUUUUAACUUAGAUUUGGGUGGCGGACGGGUGAGUAACGCGUAAAGAACUUGCCUCACAGCUAGGGACAACAUUUGGAAACGAAUGCUAAUACCUGAUAUUAUGAUUAUAAGGCAUCUUAGAAUUAUGAAAGCUAUAUGCGCUGUGAGAGAGCUUCGCGUCCCAUUAGCUAGUUGGAGAGGUAACGGCUCACCAAGGCGAUGAUGGGUAGCCGGCCUGAGAGGGUGAACGGCCACAAGGGGACUGAGACACGGCCCUUACUCCUACGGGAGGCAGCAGUGGGGAAUAUUGGACAAUGGACCAAGAGUCUGAUCCAGCAAUUCUGUGUGCACGAUGACGUUUUUCGGAAUGUAAAGUGCUUUCAGUUGGGAAGAAAAAAAUGACGGUACCAACAGAAGAAGUGACGGCUAAAUACGUG